AUGUCUCCUUAGGGAAGGAGAUGACCCUGUCCCAGAUAAAAACAUUAGCUACAGGUAGCAUUCACUUGAGUUACUUAAUUUUUGUUACCUGAAUAUGAGUGGCAUAACAUUUAUCAUAAACAUCCCACUAUCUGCCUUCCCUGAGUCCUUCACUAAGUACCUCUAUAUUUAUUCUUGUUUAUGCUUCACUCAGACAAUAAUCUUGACGUCUUCACUUCCAGGAAGCAAGCAGCUAAAAUUCAAUUUGAAGCAACAGUUCUCAGAAGUUUCAUUUACCUCAGUAAUUACUGCUUAGAGAGAGAAAAAAACCUGAAUCCCUAAAUUCCCACAAUUUGCUGGUAGUUCUUCUUUGCAGCUGACAUCGUAUUUACUAAUAUAUUUUAAUUAAAGCUUGAAAAAUUAGUCAAAUACCAAUAAAUUUGUUAUCCAGAGUGCUAACAAAGGAAAUAAUGGAGCAAUUAAAUGACACAUUGGAACAGGCUCAUUAAAUAUAGCCACUGUUUUGUUGGAAGCAGCUUCUUCAUUAAAACCAGGUUGACUAUCAGGCAGAAAGAGAGGAAGAAAAGGGAGGGGGGCUGGGAAAGUGAGCACGGGAAUGCAAUAAUAUUUUGCAGGACUUUUUCAGCAUGGGAAAGAGCAAGGUUCAAAAAUAUAUUUGUUUAUCUUCUGUCAGAUGGUGGCAGCAGUGGACUAUGUUGAUUUCCCCUCAUAUGAUCAAGGACCUUCUCAGUUCACAUUUGAGUAACUUUAUAAGGAAAAUAAGCCAUCUUGAUUCAGCAACAGAGUAACUCCAGCAAAGUGCUGAGUGGACAAUAUGAUAUUGUGCUCCGACCUACAUAGGAUUAUAAGUGUUCCUACAGGAUUUACCUGUAAGUCUCCAAAAGCCAUGGGAACUAGUCAGCUGCUCACCAUCAGGCAUUUACCUAAGCAUGUUUUUGAACUGGGAAGGAAUGUGGUCAGAUACAGCUCCUGUGCCAGAGGCAAGAACCAGUAUCCUUUUUUUAAGCUAGCUUAGCAUGCUCAGUUUUCUUCAUGGAUCCUAGUAUUUUCAAUUCAGCCAAAGGACGAAGUGAUGAAGAGGAAGAUGAUGAAGAAACGACCACCAGGGGUCCCAAAGACCACUACCACAUUAUUGUAUGCAUGCAGGAA